rnacentral:rRNA from 1 species
GACGAACGCUGGCGGCGUGCCUAAUACAUGCAAGUCGAACGAGAGCGACCGGUGCUUGCACUGGUCAAUCUAGUGGCGAACGGGUGAGUAACACGUGGGUAACCUGCCCAUCAGAGGGGGAUAACAUCCGGAAACGGAUGCUAAAACCGCAUAGGUCUUCGAACCGCAUGGUUUGAAGAGGAAAAGAGGCGCAAGCUUCUGCUGAUGGAUGGACCCGCGGUGCAUUAGCUAGUUGGUGAGGUAACGGCUCACCAAGGCCGUGAUGCAUAGCCGACCUGAGAGGGUGAUCGGCCACAUUGGGACUGAGACACGGCCCAAACUCCUACGGGAGGCAGCAGUAGGGAAUCUUCCGCAAUGGACGCAAGUCUGACAGAGCAACGCCGCGUGAGUGAAGAAGGUUUUCGGAUCGUAAAACUCUGUUGUUAGAGAAGAACAAGUGCUAGAGUAACUGUUAGCGCCUUGACGGUAGCUAACCAGAAAGCCACGGCUAACUACGUG